GAUGAACGCUGGCGGCGUGCCUAAUACAUGCAAGUCGAGCGAACGGACGAGAGGCUUGCUUCUCUGAUGUUAGCGGCGGACGGGUGAGUAACACGUGGAUAACCUACCUAUAAGACUGGGAUAACUUCGGGAAACCGGAGCUAAUACCGGAUAAUAUUUUGAACCGCAUGGUUCAAAAGUGAAAGACGGUCUUGCUGUCACUUAUAGAUGGAUCCGCGCUGCAUUAGCUAGUUGGUAAGGUAACGGCUUACCAAGGCAACGAUGCAUAGCCGACCUGAGAGGGUGGUCGGCAACACUGGAACUGAGACACGGUCCAGACUCCUACGGGAGGCAGCAGUAGGGAAUCUUCCGCAAUGGGCGAAAGCCUGACGGAGCAACGCCGCGUGAGUGAUGAAGGUCUUCGGAUCGUAAAACUCUGUUAUUAGGGAAGAACAUAUGUGUAAGUAACUGUGCACAUCUUGACGGUACCUAAUCAGAAAGCCACGGCUAACUACGUG
rnacentral:rRNA from 1 species